rnacentral:rRNA from 1 species
UACAGAGGUGGCAAGCGUUGUCCGGAAUUACUGGGCGUAAAGGGCGCGUAGGCGGCCAUCUAAGUCAGACGUGAAAUCCCCCGGCUUAACCUGGGAACUGCGUCUGAUACUGGACGGCUUGAGUAUGGGAGAGGGAUGUAGAAUUCCAGGUGUAGCGGUGAAAUGCGUAGAUAUCUGGAGGAACACCGAUGGCGAAGGCAGGUCUCUGAGCCACUACUGACGCUGAGAAGCGAAAGCAUGGGGAGCGAACAGG